GACGGAGGGUGCUAGCGUUGUUCGGAAUUACUGGGCGUAAAGGGCGCGUAGGCGGCCUGGUCAGUCGGAUGUGAAAGCCCGGGGCUCAACCCCGGAACGGCAUCCGAGACGGCCAGGCUGGAGACCGGGAGAGGAGAGUGGAAUAGCCAGUGUAGAGGUGAAAUUCGUAGAUAUUGGCUGGAACACCGGUGGCGAAAGCGGCUCUCUGGCCCGGUUCUGACGCUGAGGUGCGAAAGCGUGGGGAGCAAACAGG
rnacentral:rRNA from 1 species